rnacentral:rRNA from 1 species
AUUGAACGCUGGCGGCAGGCUUAACACAUGCAAGUCGAGCGGGGGAAGGUAGCUUGCUACUGGACCUAGCGGCGGACGGGUGAGUAAUGCUUAGGAAUCUGCCUAUUAGUGGGGGACAACAUCUCGAAAGGGAUGCUAAUACCGCAUACGUCCUACGGGAGAAAGCAGGGGAUCUUCGGACCUUGCGCUAAUAGAUGAGCCUAAGUCGGAUUAGCUAGUUGGUGGGGUAAAGGCCUACCAAGGCGACGAUCUGUAGCGGGUCUGAGAGGAUGAUCCGCCACACUGGGACUGAGACACGGCCCAGACUCCUACGGGAGGCAGCAGUGGGGAAUAUUGGACAAUGGGGGGAACCCUGAUCCAGCCAUGCCGCGUGUGUGAAGAAGGCCUUAUGGUUGUAAAGCACUUUAAGCGAGGAGGAGGCUACUUUAGUUAAUACCUAGAGAUAGUGGACGUUACUCGCAGAAUAAGCACCGGCUAACUCUGUGCCAGCAGCCGCGGUAAUACAGAGGGUGCGAGCGUUAAUCGGAUUUACUGGGCGUAAAGCGUGCG